rnacentral:rRNA from 1 species
AACAGAAUUUGCCUGGCGGCCAUAGCGCGGUGGACCCACCUGAAUCCAUGCCGAACUCAGAAGUGAAACGCCGUAGCGCCGAUGGUAGUGUGGGGUCUCCCCAUGCGAGAGUAGGACACUGCCAGGCAUCAAACA